AUCGACGAGACUGAUGGCACAGAAGAGAAGAGGAGGAGGAGGAGGAGGAAGGAGAGACAAAGCACAAAGACUUUGGGACAACAUGCAUCACACUGCCUUGGUCAACCUCAAAAGAAGUGAUGUAAAGUGAAGUGGAAACGUUUGGGAGGAAAAUGGUAGGUCACACAACCUCACAGCAAGGGCCCUGAUCACCCAACACCAGUACCAAGCCCAAUGGCAGAACAUCCCAGCAGAGGCUAAUGAAGCGAGGCUCCAUGGACCGGCAGGAACCCUCUCAUGGACCGGCAGGAACCCUCUCACAGACUGGCUCCGGUCCGCGGCCCAUAGUUUGAGAAACGCUGUAUUAAUACGUAAUGAAAGUAAUGAUUGUGAUUAGGUAUUUGCA